CGAACGCGGAAGAGCCCAAACCAUAUUGAGCAAUUAAUAUGGGGUUGAAGGACUACAUAAUCUGAAUUAACUGAAGCAGAACUGCAUGGGAAAGCAGGCCAAAGAGGGUGAUAGUCCCGUAAGCGUAAAGUUAAUGAAGAGGUAGUAUCCUGAGUAGCACGAAACCAGAGGAAUUUUGUGUGAAUUUGCCGGUACCAUCCGGUAAGGCUAAAUACUCCUGAGAGACCGAUAGCGAACAAGUA
rnacentral:rRNA from 14 species